UGUGUCUCUCCCUCUCCCUAACCCUAUCUGUCUAUCCGUUUCUGUCUGCCAUCAUUCGACGGUGGCGCUUCGUGAGUGUGACUUAUUGUCGAAAAGACAACGUAUCCACAAUAAAUGGGUAUGAAAUUACAGAUAUCAAGAUAGCGAGACCGCAAGGUGGAUGCUGAUGCAGCUGAUCAACCUGAGAGAAGGGAAACGGUCGCGAUGGGAUAGCGAACGACGAAGAACGUUGGAAGCUAAAGAGAAGAACUGGCCAGGGAUAACAGAGCUGUUAGCUCUGUUUUAAGAUUACGAAUGCGAGGAAGAAAAUAAAAGAUAUGCAUAGAAGGUGAUAACGAUGCCGGGUCUUCUUCCACGUGGUGUCACAAGUGUGUCUUGACGAAGAUUUUAUAUGGCGCAAAUAGUUGACGGCGAAUUUUUUAUAUGCGUUUGUUAGUCGGUUACGU